UACGAAGGGGGCAAGCGUUGUUCGGAUUUACUGGGCGUAAAGGGCGCGUAGGCGGUCAGCACAAGUCAGUUGUGAAAUCUCCGGGCUUAACCCGGAAAGGUCAACUGAUACUGUGCGACUAGAGUGCGGAAGGGGCAACUGGAAUUCUCGGUGUAGCGGUGAAAUGCGUAGAUAUCGAGAGGAACGCCUGCGGCGAAGGCAAUCCCCUGGGCCUGCACUGACGCUCAUGCACGAAAGCGUGGGGAGCAAACAGG
rnacentral:rRNA from 1 species